GAGAAUACAAAACGCUUUCUCGAUCUCAACACCGCGUCGGUACCCCUACCUCUUCGAAAAGCCAUCGAAGAAGAGCUACGUCGUUUAGAGUCGCUCUCCGUCAUACGCAAAGUAGAGAAGCCUACGCAGUGGUGUGCGCCCAUUGUUCCAGUGCUUAAGCCGAACGGCCAAGUCCGUAUAUGCGUCGACUUCGUGCAAUUAAACAAAAGUGUGCAGAGGGAACGUCAUGUUCUUCCUACAGUCGAAGAAGUGCUGGGAAAUCUCGGUGAAGCAAAGUUCUUUUCAAAAUUAGACGCAAGCUCAGGGUUUCAUCAAAUACUGUUGUCACCGGAGAGCCAGGAACUGACCAAUUUUAUGCACCCUUUGGGCGUUAUUGUUACCAGCGGCUUCCUUUUGGCAUCACUUCAGCGCCGGAGGUAUUUCAAAGAAAGAUGACCGACAUUCUGAAAGGACUUGACGGCGUGGAAAGUUUGAUGGACGACAUCUUGGUCUAACGGUAUGACGAAAGAAGAGCAUGGUGAGCGUUUGCGAAAAACUCUAAAUCGUCUUCGUCAAGUUGGAAUGACGUUAAAUCGGCAAAAGUGCGUGUUUGGAGUGAGCAAGGUUCCAUUUUUGGGUGUUAUUUUAACGGACCAUGGAAUUUGCCCAAACCCCGACAAAGUCGCCGCGAUUAAAAACUUCCCACCGCCAACUACCAUCACUGAACUUCGAAGGUUUCUUGGCAUGAUGAAUCAUGUGGCUCGGUUUCUUCCGCAGUUAUCAACCGUGUGAGCUCCCCUCAGAACGCUGUUAUCUGGCUCUACGCAGUGGAUCUGGGAUAUACCUCAGCAAAAAGCUUCCGACGCUUUGAAGAGCCUGAUAACAGCAGACACGUGUCUUGCAAAGUACAGCCCAUCACAAGCAAGACAACGGGGUAUUCGGAGCAGUUGCGUUUGCUUCAAGGUCCUUGCUGCCAGCAGAACGGCGUUACGCCCAAAUAGAAAAAGAGGCUUUAGCUUUGACAUGGGCAGCUGAAAAAUUCGAUGAGUAUUUACGAGAAUAUGUUCCUGGAAAGCUACUAGCUACUGCAGACGCACUGUCCAGAGCACCUACAACAGAUGAUGCUAAGCACGAGGGACUACUCACCAUAGCCGAAGUGCAGUCCUUCGCCAACGGUGCCAUCGUCACAUUACCCGCUUCGAGGGACCAGCUGCAAAGAAUACGAAUGGCACAAAAAUCCGACCCGGUAUGUAGAGAACUCUACAAACUAUCUGAAAACGGCUGGCCGUCGAGAGAGAAAGUGCCGUGUUUGUUGAAGCCCUACUAUGCAAACCACAUGCACAUAAGUUGUUGUCAAGGUUUGUUGUUGAUGGGAAGCAGACUGAUCAUUCCCGCACCGCUUUAAAAGGAAAUGUUAGCCAGACUUCACGAGGGACAUCAAGGGAUCGUCCGCUGUCGUGCGAGAGCCAAGGAGUCCAUUUGGUGGCCCGGACUUUCUUCACAACUCAAGGAAGUAACGACGAGCUGCCAGCAGUGCCUAAUGAACAAAACUCAGCCUCGAGAACCGUUGAUACCGUCGGUAACUCCGCAACUACCGUGGCAGAAUGUGGGAGCUGACUUGUUUCAUUUAAAUGGCAAGGACUAUUUGUUACUUGUUCAUCAUUAUUCACGGUAUCCAGAAGUAGUAGGACUUGUCGCGACAUCAUCUAAUGCUGUCAUUCAGCGCACGAAAGAAAUAUUCUCGCGUCAUGGAAUCCCGCAAUAACUUUUCACGGACAAUGGCCCACAAUUUGAGUCUGCUGAAUUCACGCAGUUUGCAGCACCACUAUGGAUUUUGUCAUACCACAAGCAGCUCAAAGUAUCCCCAGUCAAACGGCGAAGCGGAGAGGAUGGUCAAGACUAUAAAGGAUCUUCUCAAGAAGGCGUCCGACCCGUUUCUCUCUUUGCUUAGUUACCGGAACACAGCUGGGUCAACAGGCUCCAGCCCUGCGCAGCUGUUGAUGGGUAGGAGGUUGAGAAGCCGCCUUCCAGUUGUCUCAUCUCUUCUACUUCCGGAAACUGUUGCCUAUUCAAGGUGGGUUGCGAGGGACCGACAACAGAAAAGAAAGCGGAAGAGGAACUUUGAUAAGCGUCAUUCUGCACGUCCGCUCUCUUCUCUUUCUGAUGAGGACAUCGUCUGGAUUCCUGACAUGCAGAUCAAGGGCCAGGUACUUCGAAAAACAGCUGAGCCAAGAUCGUAUUCCGUGAAGACCCCUCAGGGAAUUCUUCGACGUAACAGGCGUGACCUGAUCGCCAUCGCUUCGCCCAAGUCGUCAGCCCUUUUAUCCUCUCCUACCAGCCCACAGUUCAAGGCAAACUUUCCUGUUGAAGACAACGCUGGUGGACCUGGAGAACCGACCGCUCCCGUGGCAGCAACGGAACAGCCGCCACCAACUGAACCUCCACGUCGCAUGAGGGUCUCCCGAUAUGGGCGCUGCAUCAAGACACCAAUUAGGUUUUCCAUGGAGUGAGUGCUCAGUUCUCGAACUGAACUUCGAACUCAAGUGCUUUAUUUUUCCUUGGAAUGAAAUUUCAUUUCCGCGUUUCUAUGUUUGCGUUUGACUUAUUUAAAAAAAAAAAAAGAGAGUUGUGGUGUUAUCUGCUAGAUAGCUGUGCUCAUUCUUAUCUUGGUAUAACUCGUAAACAUUACGUGGUACUUCUGAUGUUAUCCUGAUGAUGUAAAAGCCAAUAGCAGAUGAAAAUAAAGGCUUUUUGUUGGGUGGAACCCGCCAGCUCGCGGGCACGCA